GCUUCAACUCUGUUAGCUGCCAGCUUCCAGAGGUGGAAGGAAGCUGUGGCAAAACAGAGCAAGAAGGAAGCUCUGCAGCCUGAGCCUUACUCCUAUACCCAAAGUUCGUCAGUGGGGAUAUUUGGAGUAGGAAGAUUAGCAGCUAUGACAACCUCAGCUCAGCAUCAGCUUCCAACAAGAUACUCAAAGGAGGUGGAGCAGGCUUGUAGGAUGGAGGGAGAGAUGUGGACACAGCUUCGUCAUGGACAGAGAGGAGAUGAGUUCUGCUGGAGAGCUGAAG